AGGAAGGAAGAAUGGUGCAGUGGCCAGUAGCACGGGCGUGGGCGCAUGGCGAACAGAGGUCUGGGGUUCGAGCUGCAGUUCGCGCACGCAAGGUUUGGAUUUUUGCUGUAUGCGUAGGGAAGGAAUUGGGGUCUGACCAGGACUCUUGGCAGCAUGCUGGAUAAGGCUGCUGAUCGGUUGGGAGUUUGAAUGAAAUUCAAACUUCGAAUUUGGCCAAAAAUCAAGGAGCAAAUUAGGGAACUAGAAUUUAAAAAGAAUUACUAUGCCGAAAGGCACUCUUUC
rnacentral:lncRNA from 1 species